rnacentral:rRNA from 1 species
UACGUAGGGGGCUAGCGUUGUCCGGAAUCAUUAGGCGUAAAGAGCGUGUAGGCGGUCCGGUAAGUCCGCUGUGAAAGUCGGGGGCUCAACCCUCGAAUGCCGGUGGAUACUGUCGGGCUAGAGUGCGGAAGAGGCGAGUGGAAUUCCUGGUGUAGCGGUGAAAUGCGCAGAUAUCAGGAGGAACACCUAUUGCGAAGGCAGCUCGCUGGGACGUUACUGACGCUGAGACGCGAAAGCGUGGGGAGCAAACAGG